UACGUAGGGGCUAGCGUUGUCCGGAAUCAUUGGGCGUAAAGAGCGUGUAGGCGGCCCGGUAAGUCCGCUGUAAAAGUCAAAGGCUCAACCUUUGAAUGUCAGUGGAUACUGUCGGGCUAGAGUCCGGAAGAGGCGAGUGGAACUCCUGGUGUAGCGGUGGAAUGCGCAGAUAUCAGGAAGAACACCAACGGCGAAGGCAGCUCGCUGGGACGGUACUGACGCUGAGACGCGAAAGCGUGGGGAGCGAACAGG
rnacentral:rRNA from 1 species